UUAUUGGAGAGUUUGAUCCUGGCUCAGGACGAACGCUGGCGGCGUGCCUAAUACAUGCAAGUCGAGCGAAUCUGAGGGAGCUUGCUCCCAAAGAUUAGCGGCGGACGGGUGAGUAACACGUGGGCAACCUGCCUGUAAGACUGGGAUAACUUCGGGAAACCGGAGCUAAUACCGGAUAAUCCUUUUCUACUCAUGUAGAAAAGUUGAAAGAUGGCUUCGGCUAUCACUUACAGAUGGGCCCGCGGCGCAUUAGCUAGUUGGUGAGGUAACGGCUCACCAAGGCGACGAUGCGUAGCCGACCUGAGAGGGUGAUCGGCCACACUGGGACUGAGACACGGCCCAGACUCCUACGGGAGGCAGCAGUAGGGAAUCUUCCGCAAUGGACGAAAGUCUGACGGAGCAACGCCGCGUGAGUGAUGAAGGUUUUCGGAUCGUAAAACUCUGUUGUUAGGGAAGAACAAGUACCGUUCGAAUAGGGCGGUACCUUGACGGUACCUAACCAGAAAGCCACGGCUAACUACGUGCCAGCAGCCGCGGUAAUACGUAGGUGGCAAGCGUUGUCCGGAAUUAUUGGGCGUAAAGCGCGCGCAGGUGGUUUCUUAAGUCUGAUGUGAAAGCCCCCGGCUCAACCGGGGAGGGUCAUUGGAAACUGGGAGACUUGAGUGCAGAAGAGGAAAGUGGAAUUCCAAGUGUAGCGGUGAAAUGCGUAGAGAUUUGGAGGAACACCAGUGGCGAAGGCGACUUUCUGGUCUGUAACUGACACUGAGGCGCGAAAGCGUGGGGAGCGAACAGGAUUAGAUACCCUGGUAGUCCACGCCGUAAACGAUGAGUGCUAAGUGUUAGAGGGUUUCCGCCCUUUAGUGCUGCAGCAAACGCAUUAAGCACUCCGCCUGGGGAGUACGGCCGCAAGGCUGAAACUCAAAGGAAUUGACGGGGCCCGCACAAGCGGUGGAGCAUGUGGUUUAAUUCGAAGCAACGCGAAGAACCUUACCAGGUCUUGACAUCCUCUGACAAUCCUAGAGAUAGGACGUUCCCCUUCGGGGGACAGAGUGACAGGUGGUGCAUGGUUGUCGUCAGCUCGUGUCGUGAGAUGUUGGGUUAAGUCCCGCAACGAGCGCAACCCUUGAUCUUAGUUGCCAGCAUUCAGUUGGGCACUCUAAGGUGACUGCCGGUGACAAACCGGAGGAAGGUGGGGAUGACGUCAAAUCAUCAUGCCCCUUAUGACCUGGGCUACACACGUGCUACAAUGGAUGGUACAAAGGGCUGCAAGACCGCGAGGUUUAGCCAAUCCCAUAAAACCAUUCUCAGUUCGGAUUGCAGGCUGCAACUCGCCUGCAUGAAGCCGGAAUCGCUAGUAAUCGCGGAUCAGCAUGCCGCGGUGAAUACGUUCCCGGGCCUUGUACACACCGCCCGUCACACCACGAGAGUUUGUAACACCCGAAGUCGGUGGGGUAACCGUAAGGAGCCAGCCGCCUAAGGUGGGACAGAUGAUUGGGGUGAAGUCGUAACAAGGUAGCCGUAUCGGAAGGUGCGGCUGGAUCACCUCCUUU
rnacentral:rRNA from 1 species